rnacentral:tRNA from 1 species
UCCCCGGUGGUCCAGUGGCUAAGACUCCAGGCUCCCAAUCCAGAGGGCCGGGGUUUGAUCCCUUGUCGGGGAU